GAAAAUAGUAACUUCAGUUCUUCUACCUACUUUGCCCUUCAAUGGGUGGCAGCUAGUGGAGAAAGCCCAGCUUUAAGUACAGAUGGGGUUUUACCAUGUUGGCCAGGAUGGUCUCGAUCUCCUGACCUCAUGAUCCGCCUGCCUCAGUUUAUCUCGAAAAUGGAGUCAUUCCUUCCUAUGGCCCAGAGGACUUCAGAUGAUGAAAAGACAUGGAUGGCAGAACUGCAUCUCCUGUGGUGCCUGACAGGUCCUUGAGCUUCUUCGCUAACUAUGAAGGAAGAAGUGAGAGAACACUGUGGUGCCAAACUCAAACUCGCAUUCUAGCUCUGCCACUUGCUGUCCACCAGCAGCCCUUCUGCUUUGGACCUUGGAGAAGUGUCAAAGCCUCUCUGCAUUGCAGAUUUCUCAUCUUUAAAAUAAAAAUCAUAUCCCAGAGAGUUGUUGAAGAUUCACUGGGUAAAUGUAAAGCGCAUAGAACAAUGCCAGGCACUGUAAGUACUAUGUAAGUAAUAACUAUCAUUAGGACCAUGUAAUGGACCAUGUAAAUGGUUGUUAUUAUUACUGUUUGAUAUGCUCUGAAAUAUAGAAAUAAGAAACAUCAUCAUCUGAAAUAAUCUCCUAAGUUUAAAACUUUGCCUGGAAAGAAGUAACUGGUAACCAUAGCUUUGGAGAAACUAUGUUAUUGAAAACUGCAUUCUCG
rnacentral:lncRNA from 10 species